UACAGAGGGGGCAAGCGUUGUCCGGAAUUACUGGGCGUACAGCGCGCGCAGGCGGACCGCCACGUGCCGUGUGACAAGCCACUGCUCAACAGUGGAGGGCCAGGGUACACGAGCGGUCUGGAGGCAGGGAGAGGGAUGUGGAAUGCCCGGUGGAGCGGUGAAAUGCGUAGAGAUCGGGCGGAACACCAGCGGCGAAGGCGGCAUUCUGGUCCUGUUCUGACGCUGAGGCGCGAGAGCGUGGGGAGCGAACUGG
rnacentral:rRNA from 1 species